CAGGCAACACGUGGUUGUGGGUGGAUGUGCUUGCAGGCAGAGGAAGAGGUCUCCGGCUUACAUCAGAAUCUCAAAGUUGACACCCAAAAAAGAACUCUAUGCAACCUGAUUCUGCAUACUUAAGGAAAGAGAAGCCAGACAAAGGUGGAAGCAGUUACACACAAUGUGAGCAUCAUUUGGCACUUAGACAAGAGAGGCGGAUUUUAAAAAUAAAAGAUCCACAUGUCGCAAUUGGCUGUGGGCUUGUA